ensembl:lncRNA LINC02018 long intergenic non-protein coding RNA 2018
AGGAGGGCGAGGCCUGGGGUAGGGCCAGGAUAAGCGUCGUUGGGGCAGGUCCUGGGUAGAGUCCAGGUUGGCGGGUCCUGGGGCGGAGUCAGGAUAGGGCGAUCCUGGAAGCUGGGCUUCAGAAGCGUCCAGCGCCACCCGUCUGGGGCCCGAAAGGAGGGAGCUUUCCCUCUGUCCUCCAGCCUUUGGACUGUCUCCAAACAAGCCAUUCGUUCACCAAAUACUUAUUAAGCACCUACCAUGUGCCUGACAAGGGAGAUGUAACGCUGGGGAAACUGAGUUACAGAGCUUUUCUGCACUGAGUCAUCAGGAGCAAAUGCUAGAUCAGGGUCUCUCUCUCUGCCACCCAGGCCAGAGUGCAGUUGACGCAGGGCAGGGGAGCCCCGAAGUGGAGCAUAGUGUGUCCGGAACUGGUGGGUUCUUGGUCUCACUGACUUCAAGAAUGAAGCCGUGGACCCUCACGGUUCAAGCGAUUCUCCUGCCUCAGCCUCCAGAGUAGCUGGAACUACAGAUGCGCACCACCACGCCCAGGCUGUGCUUCUCAGUGGCUCCCACCAGAUACCUGAUGGUCCUGUCGAUUUGCUGAAUCAUCAACUUCCUAUUCUCUGCCUCUGGCCUGAAUCGAUGUCCCACGUUAUCUGGCUCUCUGUAACACAGAGUCACAAAGUCAAAGUCUUCCUUGGUGAACCAGUUCAUGACAGUAUCGAUGUUCGCACUCCGCUCUGUCUCGUUGCUGUUUGGCCAUGAUCUGUCACCCAGGCUGGAGUGCAAUGGUGUGAUCUCAUCUCGCUGCAACCUCUGCCUUCUGGAUUAAAGCAAUUCUCCUGCCUCAGCCUCCCGGGUAUCUGGGAUUACAGUUGCACGCCACCACACCUGGCUAAUUUUUUGUAUUUUUAAUAGAGACAGGGUUUCACCAUGUUGGCCAGGCUUGUCUUGAACUCCUGACGUCGUGAUCUGCCUGCUUUGGCCUCCCAAAGUCCUGGGAUUACAGGCAUGAGCCACCGUACCCAGCCACUCUUGAUUAACUUAAUGGAAAUAUUUACAGAGAUUCUUUCUCUUCUGGGUUCUAGCGUCUUAUCUGUAACCUCUGCAGGUAAUACAUUUUCCUUCCUGAUAAAA